GUAGGGAAUAUUGGGCAAUGGAUGCAAGUCUGACCCAGCCAUCCCGCGUGCCGGAAGAAGGCCCUCAGGGUUGUAAACGGCUUUUGACGGUGAAGAAUCGACAGGAUGCGUCCUGUUUUGACGGUAGCCGUUGAAUAAGCACCGGCUAACUCCGUGCCAGCAGCCGCGGUAAUACGGAGGGUGCGAGCGUUGUCCGGAUUUAUUGGGUUUAAAGGGUGCGUAGGCUGGAAGGUCAGUCAGCGGUGAAAAGCUGUCGCUUAACGAUAGUCUUGCCGCAGAUACUUCCUUGAUUGGAUGAGGAGGAGGCCACUGGAACGGAUGGUGUAGCGGUGAAAUGCAUAGAUAUCAUCCAGAACACCGAUUGCGAAGGCAGGUGGCUGUACCUUAAUCGACGCUGAUGCACGAAAGCAUGGGGAGCAAACAGGAUUAGAAACCCCAGUAGUCC
rnacentral:rRNA from 1 species